UACGUAGGGUGCGAGCGUUGUCCGGAAUUAUUGGGCGUAAAGAGCUCGUAGGCGGUGUGUCACGUCGGCCGUGAAAACCUGCAGCUUAACUGUGGGCGUGCGGUCGAUACGGGCAUCACUGGAGUUCGGCAGGGGAGACUGGAAUUCCUGGUGCAGCGGUGAAAUGCGCAGAUAUCGGGAGGAACACCGGUGGCGAAGGCGGUUCUCUGGGCCUUACCUGACGCUGAGGAGCGAAAGCGUGGGGAGCGAACAGG
rnacentral:rRNA from 1 species